rnacentral:lncRNA from 13 species
GGCAUUUUAAAAUGAAGCAGUAGCCUUAGACAUGGAUGUUUAUACACAGAGCUCACCAGAAUAUCGUCUCUGUGCUGCCCAGAUGAUGUCUGUGUAGGGGGCUGCAAGACCCCAAGUUCCUCUGCUGACCAGAGGAACCGGAGCACUUUAAUGUGGAAAUUGGAAGCCUAGGAACUUUGUGUUUAAAGUAGAACUGCUGGAAGUGGCCAAGUCCACAGCGGAUUUCCAGAAUGCCCUGAGAGAAAAUGCUGACCCGACAACUGGCAAAUGCGUCCUGAGUGCCUCCUCCCCAGGAGGCGCUAGUUUAGCAGAAAUUUGGAGCUGGGCUGGGCAGUGAUAUGGAAAGAAGUAUGCAGUCUAAGUAGGAGGGUCAUCGGUAUCUAGAAAGCUAAAAGCACAAGGCCAUCUGAAUCAUUGCCAUAGAUCAGGUUCCAAUAGAAGAAUCCAGCAGGAGAUCUCAGCUGGUGGCCAUGAGACGCCCACGCAAGCCAAGAGCAAGCUCCUUCCCAAGAUUCUGUCAAUGGUGAUACAGACAGUCCAGGACCCAGGCAAGAAAGAGGGCACUGACCAUGCUAAUGGGGUA